UCAGUGUCGACGAGUUGGGUCGUAGGGUCGUAGGGGGGGUCUCCAGGUGGGCAUCCAUAGCAGUACCUAUCAUAUACUAGUGCUGACCAGCAAGAUCUGCAGCCGUGAAGAGAGCCCUGCCAUGGGUCGUGACUAGGGCAGCAACUAAGUUAAAUACAUUUCUGGUAAUAUCAUAAAUAUGUACUCCUUUACAAUAAUUGUCUUUUGUUCAACCACUUAAAGCAGCCAUUGUGAUGGAGAAGGGAGAUUCCCGACAGGGACUGAUUUCAUAGUGCUAGUUUGGCCACAUUCAGACAUAAAACUCAGCUUACCUGAUAUAAACAUUAAAAACAAAUUCCUCCAAAAAAAA